GGUUAAGUUAUUAAGGGCGCAUGGUGGAUGCCUUGGCACUAGGAGCCGAUGAAGGACGUGACUAACUGCGAUAAGCUUCGGGGAGUUGUAAGUAAACUGUGAUCCGGAGAUUUCCGAAUGGGGAAACCCAGCAGGAGUAAAGAC
rnacentral:rRNA from 1 species